rnacentral:lncRNA from 1 species
UUUCAGUUUUGACCAUUUUUGGUCACCGAAAGCUCUAUCGAACUGUAAUCUUUAGCAGAUAGCAGUUCGAUUUUAUUCUCCACCUUUCGGGUGUCAGAAUGACAUGAAACUUUAAAUCUAGCCUCAUAAAAAUAAUUCUGACAUAUUCUCUAGUUUUCAUAAUUUUCCGACAAUGUACAUUUUCUGCUAAAAUAUCAGCCCCGCUUCUCACAAAAAAUUCUAAAUUUUCUGUUUUCGUUCUGAUUUCAGCACAGGUCGUUUUCGACUUAUAUUUCACUUCUCUAAAUCCAAUAAAAAUAGUAUCUCAUACUAUUUUUAUUUAUUUUUACUUUUAUAUUAAAAUUCGGUAUAUUACAUUUCACCGUAACUUCAUAACUACAGAAGUUCGGCACCUUACAGCUACACUUGUGGUCAGCCCGGACAUAUGAGGUCAGCUUGUCCUCGUGUAGCAUCACCAGCACCAUCUACUGCAUCAGCGCAGCCGGCAUCCCAGCAGUCCUUUGGAGCAGCACCGAGUUUCCGCCAGGAGGACAGAUCGUCUGUGCCGCGUCAGGCUGAGCGGCGACAGCAGGCUCCAAGUGGCAGAGUUUACGCAGCUCAGGUGGCGGAUUCUUCAGCAGCUGAUCGAGUG